rnacentral:tRNA from 1 species
GAAUAUAGCUCAGUUGGUAGAGAGUUUGCCUCUCUUGCACAAGGCUCUGGGUUCAAUCCUCAGUACA